rnacentral:rRNA from 1 species
GUAGUCCUGGCGUCUACGGGGAUGUAACGGCUGGCGGCGUGCCUAACACAUGCAAGUCGAACGGGGUCGUUAGGUAGCGGAAGUUUUCGGAGUGGAAGGAUUAAGACUAGUGGCGGACGGGUGAGUAACGACGUGGGUAACCUGCCUGUACAGGGGGAGUAACAGUUGAAACGGGACUGCUAAAACCGCAUAACAUGGAGAUACCGCAUGAUAUUUCCAUCAAAUAUUUAUAGGUACAGGAUGGGCCCGCGUCUGAUUAGCCAGUUGGCAGGGUAAUGGCCUACCAAAGCGACGAUCAGUAGCCGGCUUGAGAGAGUGACCGGCCACAUUGGGACUGAGACACGGCCCAAACUCCUACGGGAGGCAACAGUGGGGGAUAUUGCACAAUGGGGGAAACCCUGAUGCAGCGACGCCGCGUGAGUGAAGAAGUAUUUCGGUAUGUAAAGCUCUAUCGGCAGGGAAGAAAAAGCGCGCGAGCGCCCUUGACAGUACCUGACUAAGAAGCCCCGGCUAACUACGUG